GACGAACGCUGGCGGCGUGCUUAACACAUGCAAGUCGAACGGAAAGGCCCUGCUUGCGGGGUACUCGAGUGGCGAACGGGUGAGUAACACGUGGGUGAUCUGCCCUGCACUUCGGGAUAAGCCUGGGAAACUGGGUCUAAUACCGGCCAGGAGACAUUUUUAGUGUGAUGGUUGGAAAGUUUUUUCGGUGUUGGAUGAGCUCGCGGCCUAUCAGCUUGUUGGUGGGGUAAUGGCCUACCAAGGCGGCGACGGGUAGCCGGCCUGGGGGGGUGGACGGCCACACUGGGACUUAGGUACGGCCCAGACUCCUACGGGUGGCAGCAGGGGGGAAUAUUGCACAAUGGGCGCAAGCCGGAUGCAGCGACGCCGCGUGGGGGAUGACGGCCUUCGGGUUGUAAACUCCUUUCGCUAGGGACGAAGCUUUUUGUGACGGUACCUAGAUAAGAAGCACCGGCUAACUACGUG
rnacentral:rRNA from 1 species